ensembl:lncRNA
GGUGGCCGUGCCGCAGCCUCCCUCCUGACGGCGCAUCCUGGGCGAGCCGCUGGUGCAGACCCAGGCUGCCCCGUGGCCCCUACUUCCUGAGCUUGCUGACAGAGCCGUCUGUACAGCGCGCCGUGCAUUCCAGGCCGUCUUGACUGCGGGGCCCUUUCUCCCGGCCCAACUUCAACAAAUACAGACAGACCUCGCCAUCCGGCUCUCUGCGAGGGCUGGCACCACGGCCCGUGAUGCUGGGCACGGGAGUCGCUCUGGCCAGGGCAGCAGAUGUGGGCUUUCUGAGCAGCUCCAGCUCCAGGCGCGGGAGGAAGGGGCCUGGGGAGCCGCCACCGUGGGGGGACAGUAGGUCUGGGGGCCAAGAGCCGGGCUGAGCCGUCCAGGGGCAGCGGGCUCUGCGGGGGUCUCCCCUCCCUGGCGAGGGUGAAGUCCUUAUGUCGGGCAGCUCAUUGGAAUGUCUCAGUGCUCUCUGCGAUUCCCACGGCCGUGGCCCAAAAGCGACCUCCAGGCAGAUGGGAAAAUCCGCCUUUUUGUAGGAACAUGAAAAAGUCUUUGAAGACUGCUCGUCUCUGCAUCCUGUUUGGAAAUGUAGGAGGGCCUGAGCAAAUGGAAAGCGCCCGUUCCGUUAGGGUAUCAGGUCUGGAGUAGAGAAGGGUGGAAUUUGGGCCUUCCUUGGAAAGUUCACAAGAAUGAAACCUGUUUAGAGAACAGUUCCUGUGGAGGAUGGCUAAUGCCUGGAGUGUGUUACCAAAAGUCUCACUUUUCAGAGAUUUUUAUAGAGAAAAUAACCUCAUUGUUUCAGGAGACCGAUCAUGUGUUGUUUUCUUAUGGGGCGUUUACAUCAUUUGUUUAAUCCAGGAGCCCCAGCCCUCAGCCACGGCAGACAUUUCUGAUCGAUCCACAGACUGGAGAUUUAGCCUCAGAACCUUUCUUAACACAGCUCUCCAUUUCCAAUCAGUAAACACGAGUGGAAACCCUCCUGCCGACUCUGGACUCCACGAUCCCACGUUCAUCACCAUUUGCGGAGAAACGCUUUAAACAUCACAGUAUCCUCUAACAACAGCAACACGUACCUGAGGAACGCCAUACCGCGGAUGCAGCCUCACGCGGUCCCGUGUCGCCGCUCUACCCACAAGAAAACAGACGCCUGAGUCGGCCAGGGUCCCUCAGCCAGUGAGAGGUUCUGGGAUGCGGACCUGGGGUCCCCACCUUCCUAGUCUGUGAUCUUGUCAUUGGAGGACGUUCUCUAGACCAUAUUCCACUUGUCUUACAAUUAUGCCAAAGACUGGAACAUCAGCUUCAGAGAUGUUUGGGACCAAGGAUUCUUGCUCAAUACACCUUUGUGCUCUACAACCUUCCUUGUGGUGUCCAGUGCAGGAAAGGCAGAAAACUUCCCUUGGGCUCUGCUGUGUGACUUGUUUGAGUAACUCUACCUCUCUGAGCCUCAGUUUCCUCAUCUGUAGAAUGGGGAGACUAAUGGAACUUUGCCUGCCUUCCAGGAGUACACUGAGGGUCACCUGACAUAGUCGAUUUGAACGUGCUUUGCAAACUGUGAAGUGUUCUGGAUGCUUGUAAGUCACGUGUGAGCAAGCUGUGGGGAAUCGUCUCUCCAUCAGACGCGUGUGUUUGAUGUUGGCUUUUAAUCUCAAACGGCCAAGAGAGGGGAGCCUUGAAUGCCAAUGGGAUUUGAAACUCCUUCAAGGGUUCCGUAUACUUUCUAAGUUCCAGGUUGGCCGAGAUUAUGCAACGGCUGUGAUGAACCCUCCUCCUUUCUGGACUCAUCAAGGGCUCAUCACUUGUCCCAUAGGCUGGGCAAAAUCUUGAAGUGACACCAUGUUGGGGGUUGCGGGAAAGACGCCUUACAAGUGACAGAAUCUAAUCCUUCGUUCCCACGAGGAAUAAUGAUAAUGGUACCAGCUUCUGCUUGCCGAGUCCCAUCGAUGUACUAGUCGCUCUACAUGUGAUGACUGCAGAGUAGGCACCUGGUGCCCACUUUACAGAUGGGGAACUUGUGGCUUGGACAGCUCAAUAAGAAGGAAACUUCUCUACGUCACAAAAUUUGGAGGUGGCAGAAUUGAGAGUGGGAUCCAUGCUCUUUCACCCAAAGUCCAUGUUCCCUUUAGGACGCCAUGCUGGUUUUUGCUUUCCGCCAGACAACCAAUCAGCUCACCAAUCAACAAAUGAACAACCAUCCACCCAACCAAUAAAAACCAACCAAUAAUUAAUCAAUCAACUAACCAUCCAUCCAUCCAACCAACCAACCAACCAGCUAAUGAACAACCAUUCACAACUAAUCAAUAAUUAGUGAACCAACCAACCAACUGGUUAACAACCAGCCACCAUCCAAGCAACAACAUGCGUUGCUACCAGUCGUGUGCUCAGCACUGAGCUUUGGGACGGAGAGAACCCCCUGUCCCAUCCUCAGGGAACUGCCGGCCUGUGGGAAAGCAAGGACCACGGUCCUGCUCACAGCACCGGCCCCAAUUGUCUGUUCCGCAUCUGCCUCCUCAGCUGGGUGGGACUUCCCCAAGGCGAGGGUGACACCUUGGUCGUCCUUGUAGAGUUAGAGCCCAGAACAGGAGCAGCACAUGCAUGCACACAUUCACACAUGCAUGCACACACACACAACAUGGAAUAACUCAGAACACUAUGGAAUGAAUGAAGGAGUCUUAUCAGAAGUGGCUCGGAGGGUCAGAUCCAUCUCAGAGGGUUUGUGCGAAAGGAAGGUUAGACGAUGCUCUGGUCUGGAGAAUUCCCUGCUGGGUGGAGCAAAACAAAUACUUCCAGGGACGCUGCCUUCUGCUGAAGAGCUCUCACUGGGCCCUGUCCUGGACGGGGAGCACGCCGUGGCGGAAAGAGCCCCAGAUUGGGGUCAGGGGUCUGAGCCCAGCUGAGCCACUAACACCUUGGGUGGCCUUGGACGCCUAGCCUCAGUCACCCCCCCUCCACCGCCGCUCCCACAUUUUAUGGACGAGGCCACUGAGGCCCCAAGACCUGAGUUCGCCCCUCUCCAAGGCCCCUUCCAGCUCUGGCAUUUCCAGCCUUUUCUGGCUGCUCAUUAACGGAGUAUUUUCGUUUUCCAAUCCGCAUUCCAGCCUCCUCCCGCGAGCCUCGACCCCUCUGGCAGGGGAGCGGGCACUGUGCGCAGUUCUCUGGAACGCUCCGGGGACCCUCGCCCGUCUCCCACCGGAGCGGCCAGAGGCUAACUGGCAGGCACGGUCGCCUCCCGUACGGGCCCCGCAGACGUGCGCUCGGGGCCGGGGAGCCGGCGCUGCCGGGAAGCACGCGCUCCAUCUCUCUGUCUCUGUUACAGGCCCCGCGGUUCACCGUCUGCUCGGAAAUUGGGUAAGUGUUUUCUUACCCAAACUUGAGUAACCGCCGCUGAAAUGUAUGGUUGGAAAGUCUUGGCUCUCAGAACAGACCACACAGUGACUCGCCCGGUGAAACCCAACGCCCUGGGCUUACUCGGUUUUACCUAAGACACCGCUACAGGAAGAAAUGGGUUUGGAGGCGAUGGAAGUCUUUCCAUCCAUUUCUGAGGGGUUUUAUUAGCAGGAGGAAGGCAGAGGGGUGUCGGUGUGGCUCUGCUUCUCAGCCUGGGCUGGGCGUGGGGGCAGGAAAGCAGGUCCGAGAGGGGGCGAAGGGUGCUCCCCGGGAGCCUGUGGGCCCUGGAGGCUGGCGGCGGCUGCCUGCUGCGUGUGUUCCGUGGGAUCCGGAGCCAGCGAGGAUUCCAGCCCCGGCCCACCGUGUCUUGUGCCACAUUCUGGCAGGCUGUUCGACAUUCAGUGCGGGCCCCAUUUUUAAUCAGCCUCUUUCACCCACACAAGCCAAGAAAAAGCUGUAAAGUCAGAAGGAACGCUGGCAUCUGUUCCAGGCCUCAGAACAGAGCAGAUAUUGUCCCGGCCGCGCAGUUCUCGGCCGCCCUCAUUCUUGUCGACCACACAAAUGGUUCCAGUCAGCUUCCAGAGGCUGUCCGUGGCGUUUCAAGAUGUUUGCUCGCUGCCUUCGCAGGUCAAUUCUCCUCCAGCCUUGGAAGUCACCUUCCCACCCACGCUCUCUGCCUGACACAGAAGGGAAGAUGAGGCGGGAAUUGCUCGUGUGUGUGUGUGUGUGUGUGUGUGUGUGUGUGCCAUUGACAGAUUUCAAUUUUCUAAGUGAGCUGAAAUGCCCUCCUGAGCAGCCGCCACCCCUGACCAAGGAGAUGCCCAAGGAGAGGCCACGGGGCCUCUGCAUUAUGUGGGGAGUGCUGGUGUGGGCGGUUCUCUCCUCGGAACUCGGGAAACACGGCUGCAAGACCACGCCCCACCUCUCACGUGACCCUCACCUGUUGAUGGGGCCAUGCCCGCCUUUCCACCCUGUCCCCGGGGGCUUGGGGCUAUCCCGUCUGAAACCCCUUUUUGGGGCUGACAGUGGCUGUGUCAUUCACCUUCUGCAGAGGACACAGGGCCUCAAGGCCAUGGGGGACUUAAGACGUUUUCCUCUUUCAUCAGAUUGUGUGGAAGCUGAAGGCCUUUUAUGCCGACCUUCCAGGGAGCAGGUUAACAAGGCAGAAAGGACAAGGGUCUCGUUGCUACUGAACAAAGUCAGGUUUGUUGACACAGCAGCAGCCGGGACUCGGAAAUCAAGUCCCACGACAGAGGACUGGCCUCCCCACCCCCACCCCCCGCAGAAAGAGCUGUCUGUGCAAGAAGGUAAUCAUUCCCAGUGGAACUUUCUAGAUUGGAGGCUUCACGUCUGAUCUGUUUCUGUUGAGUGAUGGGAACAAAUCUGGAGAAGCCCUCGUGGUGGGACAAACACGUCGUGCUGUGCUGAAAGCUGCCGCUGGCCAGGCGUGGUGCUGGAGACCUCCGUGUGAUGUCUUUUCAUAGCCUUUAAGGCCCUUCCUUUCCUGUGGGGAAAGGAACGAUAAACUUCGAUUUCCCACCGUGCGUUCGGCCAGGAGGGUAAGGUGUUGGCUCCCUCCCUCCCCCCGGGCUCUGUCGUCAGCCCGCUGCUCUGACUCAGAGACCAGGGUGUCUGAUGUAGGCCUGGGGUGUCCAGCAGACAUGCCCGUGACCCCCAGCCUAGAGAUUGCAUAAUGAGGGAGAAAGGUCGAAACCCUCCCCUGCCUCUGUCGUAGGCUGGCCUUCUGGAACUGGACACUGAGACAGAGGUUGGGAACAGGAUUGUUUGUGUGGUUUUUCUUUUGGAUUAAUUCUUUGGCGGGAAGGCAGAGGACGCAGGACUGGGCAGAGGGAGACGGUGAACUGCUCUGUGGCCUGGCACAGCCCGGGACGGUGUGAUGGGGCAGUCGACGUGAAGGCUUCGUCAGAGUCCACACGGCCUAAAUGCCCAGGUAGACAUGCCGGCAAGGGCUGGCUUGGGCCAGGCGGCUCUCUGCAGCCGGGACAGACCUCGAAGGGGCUGUCAGCUAGCUGACCACACUCCCCGCAGCGGGCGACCUGAAGGCAGUUUAAUUCUAGACCAGUGCUCUCUAACUGUGCCCUCGGACCCUGGGAGUUCUGUGAUAAAGAAAGACCCGUGAAUGGUUUCCAAAUUGCAAAACAUAUGUCUUUAUACCUGAAAUAAAGCCACAGCCGAAGGUUGCCCUUGUCCGUUCUAGACGUGAUGAGCAAACGUUAGCAGUGCGGGCUGCACGAUGGCAGACGUGUCGAGGACGGAAUCGCAGACACGUCUCCAGCCGGGGACUUGGGGCCAGUCACGUAGCUACUUACCCACUGUCCCUUGACCAAACUCUGGUCAGGCCCCUCUGGGCUCUUUCUCAGCCGGGCUUUGACCUUGCGCAGGCCCUCAAGAGCCAAGUCUUAGCAAGAACCCUGCUAAGUCAGUUUAGCCAGAAUCGCCCAGCCUCCAUAUCAGGCUGCCUCUACAUCCGCCCAGUCCUCGUCGCUCCCCCACCCCGGCCGGUCUGACCCCCCGGCCCGCCUGCAGCAGGAACCCUGUUCCGUCGGUUUGGCCGGGACCCUCUCCCUCACCCCUGAGGUUUCUCCUAUUAAUUUUCCAUCCAUGGACCCCCACCUGCGCCUUGGCUAUAAAUUCUCACUUUUCCUUGUUGAAUUCAGAGUCGAACCCCAUCUCUCUUUCCUCCUGCAAAAUCUCCUUGCAGUGAGCCCUAACCGAUUGUGACAGUCCUGAAUAAAUCUG